rnacentral:rRNA from 1 species
GGCGAACGCUGGCGGCGUGCUUAACACAUGCAAGUCGAACGGAAAGGCCCCUUUGGGGGUCCUCGAGUGGCGAACGGGUGAGUAACACGUGAGUAACCUGCCCUUGACUUCGGGAUAACUUCAGGAAACUGGGGCUAAUACCGGAUAGGAAUCCUUGCUGCAUGGUGGGGGUUGGAAAGCUUCGGCGGUUUUGGAUGGACUCGCGGCUUAUCAGCUUGUUGGUGGGGUAGUGGCUUACCAAGGCUUUGACGGGUAGCCGGCCUGAGAGGGCGACCGGCCACAUUGGGACUGAGAUACGGCCCAGACUCCUACGGGAGGCAGCAGUGGGGAAUAUUGCACAAUGGGCGGAAGCCUGAUGCAGCAACGCCGCGUGCGGGAUGACGGCCUUCGGGUUGUAAACCGCUUUCAGCAGGGGCGAAGCUUUUGUGACGGUACCUGCAGAAGAAGCACCGGCUAACUACGUG